GCCCGCUUGGCGUAACUGGUAGCCGCACGAGACUUAAAAUCUCGGGUCCCUCGGGACGUGCCGGUUCGAGCCCGGCAGCGGGCACCA
rnacentral:tRNA from 1 species